UGGGAAUUUUGGACAAUGGGCGAAAGCCUGAUCCAGCAAUGCCGCGUGUGUGAAGAAGGCCUUCGGGUUGUAAAGCACUUUUGUCCGGAAAGAAAUCCUUGGCUCUAAUACAGUCGGGGGAUGACGGUACCGGAAGAAUAAGCACCGGCUAACUACGUGCCAGCAGCCGCGGUAAUACGUAGGGUGCAAGCGUUAAUCGGAAUUACUGGGCGUAAAGCGUGCGCAGGCGGUUUGCUAAGACCGAUGUGAAAUCCCCGGGCUCAACCUGGGGAACUGCAUUUGGUGACUGGCAGGCUAGAGUAUGGCAGAGGGGGGUUAGAAUUCCACGUGUAGCAGUGAAAUGCGUAGAGAUGUGGAGGAAUACCGAUAGCGAAGGCAGCCCCCUGGGCCAAUACUGACGCUCAUGCACGAAAGCGUGGGGAGCAAACAGGAUUAGAUACCCUGGUAGUCACGCCCUAAANGAUGUCACUAGUUGUUGGGGAAUUCAUUUCCUAGUAACGUAGCUAACGCGUGAAGUU
rnacentral:rRNA from 1 species